AUGAAUCAGCAGCAUUCUGCUGGUUGAAAGAAUGGCUGCUUCUUGAGAACACAGACAUUUUGGAUUUAGAAGGUUUCAAUAAUGUUUUUGGGUGGCAUGCAUAUUUGUGGUAUGACAAGGUUAAAGCACAUAAAGCAUUUAAAAACCAUAUUGUUAGGAAAGCAUUGUUAAAUGUCUGGAUAAGAUAUAAGGACUUACUUGAAAAUAAAACCCCAAGGUGGUUGUCACCGAUGGAAGCAAAGGCUCAGAAAAAGCUCAGUAUGGAGGCCAAAUGGCCGAAAUAUUGGGAAAUUUUGGAACAAGAAGGAGACAAAUUGAAAUUGCAGAGUUUUGAGAAAUUAAAAGAUAAAGUGCGAGACUGGCUUCAUUAUUAUCAGAUAAUGGAGGCAUACAAUUUGGACAAGAAAAUUGGCUUCCAGGUGGAAAAAUCAAAAUUAGAAACAGAACUGUUAGAACCCAAAACUAAGAUUUUGUCAAAGAUGUAUAACUUGCUGUUGAAAUGGAAUACUCAGGAUGAAACGGUGAAAUCUGCUAUGAUUAAAUGGGCACAAGAUGUUGGACAUAACAUUAUGUUUGCUGACUGGGAACAGUUGUGGACUACAGGUAUGAAAUUUACGGCAUGUAAUGCCCUAAGAGAGAAUAUUAUGAAAAUGAUAUACAGGUGGUACAUGACACCAGUCAAGCUUGCAAAAAUCUAUCAUUUGCCCGAUAAUAAAUGUUGGAAAUGUAAGGAAAACGAAGGUACAUUCUUUCACCUUUGGUGGACGUGCCCAAAGAUUAAGGCUUUCUGGGAGAUGAUCUAUAAUGAAAUGAAAAAGGUAUUUAAAUAUACCUUUCUAAAGAAACCAGAGGCCUUCCUGUUGGGCAUAGUCGGCCAAUUGGUGCCAAAGAAGGAUAGGACUUUCUUUAUGUAUGCCACAACAGCAGCAAGAAUACUUAUUGCAAAGUAUUGGAAGACACAAGAUCUACCCACCUUGGAAGAAUGGCAGAUGAAGGUGAUGGACUAUAUGGAACUGGCAGAAAUGACUGGCAGAAUCCGAGACCAGGGAGAAGAGUCGGUGGAAGAAGAUUGGAAAAAGUUUAAAGACUAUUUACAGAAAUAUUGUAAAAUUAAUGAAUGUUAGAAUGAUGUUGGAUAGAAACUAAGUGGUUUCUAGCUGUAAUGUUAUAAGGGAAUAUGAAAAAAUGGACUAUUAAUAGGUAAAAAUCUAAUGUUACAAUACUUUAAGAUUGAAGAUUAGGAUAAACAAAGAGGGAGGGAUUUGCUGAACUAACAAACUGAAUUGGAAUACAGAAAAGGGAGGCGUGAGGAGGUCUGGGAAAUAAGCAAAUGAAAGAUAAGUGAUUGAAAGACUGAAUUGUUUUUAACUAUUUUUAUUUUGUGUUUUUCUUUUUUCUUUUUUUUAUUUUGUAAUAUUUUGAAAAUCUUAAUAAAUAUCUU